CGAACCCCAGGCCAUUCAGUCUGUGGGCUGAUGCCCCAACCACUGAGCCAAACCAGCAAGGGCCAGUCUCUCUCUCAAGGAGUUUGCUCAGCCCCUCAGGAUCUUAAUCAUUGGCUUGAUUGAGAAAAAGUUAUGCUGAUGGGUGAAAAUGGCCUUUCAUGAGAACCCACAUUAUCGCAAUUAUCCAAACAAGAUCCUAUCUCGUAUAAAAGAAACACAAACAGCUGUAUUUGGCAUCUCGUCUUGAAAGGCGUUUGACUUUUCUGGUUAUUCAAGAGCUGCAUUAACCAAGAUAAGACUCAUCAUGAUCCCACCUUCUCCAGAAGCUUCUGACCAGAGGAGUUGGUUGCUGAGAAUAUGGGAGGGGUGGUUUCCUCAGGAUAUUUACAAAUGCAUCUGGUUGUUUAAUAUUGGAUUGAUCAUACUCCUCCUGGGAAUUUCUGUGGAAGCUUUUUUAGCAAGCUAUAUACCUUUUUCUCUUGCAAUGAUAAUGACUGUUACUGGAGUUGUUUUUGCUGCUAUUGUUGUAAUGUUCACUUUGUAUGAAGCACGCCAAAACUCAUCUUUCACCUUAGAAUCAUCAAACCUGAGAAACACUCAGAGGGACAGAAACAUCGAUUUUGAAAUGGACACAUGGGAAGCAGGCACUAGACUAUAACUUUUAUUAAACCCAAAUAAUUUGGGCUUUUAGACCCCAUGUACGCAUUGUUUUAAAUAGAAAUAAACUCUGGCUUAU